rnacentral:rRNA from 1 species
UACAGAGGUCUCAAGCGUUGUUCGGAUUCAUUGGGCGUAAAGGGUGCGUAGGCGGCGCGGUAAGUCGGGUGUGAAAUCUCGGAGCUUAACUCCGAAACUGCAUUCGAUACUGCGGUGCUCGAGGACUGGAGAGGAGACUGGAAUUCACGGUGUAGCAGUGAAAUGCGUAGAUAUCGUGAGGAAGGCCAGUGGCGAAGGCGAGUCUCUGGACAGUUCCUGACACUGAGGCACGAAGGCCAGGGGAGCAAACGGG